UGGGGAAUUUUCCGCAAUGGGCGCAAGCCUGACGGAGCAAUACCGCGUGCGGGAGGAAGGCCUUUGGGUCGUAAACCGCUUUUGUUAGGGAAGAAAAUUUGACGGUACCUAACGAAUCAGCCUCGGCUAACUCCGUGCCAGCAGCCGCGGUAAGACGGAGGAGGCAAGCGUUAUCCGGAAUUAUUGGGCGUAAAGCGUCCGCAGGUGGCAUCUCAAGUCUGCUGUCAAAGCCCAGGGCUCAACUCUGGAUCGGCAGUGGAAACUGAGGCGCUAGAGUACGGUAGGGGCAGAGGGAAUUCCCAGUGUAGCGGUGAAAUGCGUAGAUAUUGGGAAGAACACCAGUAGCGAAAGCGCUCUGCUGGGCCGUAACUGACACUCAUGGACGAAAGCUAGGGGAGCGAAAGGGAUUAGAUACCCCCGUAGUCC
rnacentral:rRNA from 1 species